GUCCAUCUCAGUGAUGAUGGUGGGUCGCCUAUUCUGGGGCAGCGUCUCUGGCAUGCGGCCUACACUGAACUGGAGAGAGGUGAUCCUGCAUCAGUGCUGUCAGUGACGCGCAGGCGCUCGCCCCCCUGAGCACUGUCACACCAAAGGUGGUUGUGAGGGGAGAGGUGCCUGCACCUCAACCAUCCAACCCCUUUGAGUGGACAGUGUGUGGAAAGGUGCACAAGGUAAACAUAAUUCCUGUGUGUGUAUAUACGUAUAGUAUAUGUAUUUAAUACAGUAGUGUUAAUUCUCAACUUACUUAUCACAGCAGAAUCUCUCUGGCAACGAGGUGGAGGACUCUGCUCCAUGCACGCAGCAGGUUUGUCAUCCUUUAUAUGACACAACUAUCAUAAAAAACCACUAUCAUCAGAAUUUCUGUAUGGAUUACACACAUUUUCUUUGAAAAGAAACCCUUUUCUAAAGUAUUACUUUAUUUAUUCUAUAUUUUUUCUCUCUCUCCUUCUCAUCCUAGUUGUCAACAGUUGGGUUGCGAGACUGUUUUGUGCGUCUCAACCCUAUCCAUUUCAGUGCACACCUGCUGGAUGCCAUGGAGAAGAUUUUGCCGUCCCAGCUUCCCAACCCUGUUCCACACGAUGAUGAGGUCAGUGAAAAUGUCAAACUACAGUAGCACUUUGACUGUUCAUUCAUAAAAUGUUUUGUGUUGCACAACAACAAUGCUUAUAAGAAAUAUUUUUUCAUUCAGAUGCCACGUGUGGAACCACGCAGGACUGUGGUUGCAUCUCGGAGGAUCCCUACCAGGAAGCAGGUUUGUUUCUUCAUUAGCACACAUGGUGUAUUAAUAUGCAAGCACGCAGAGCUAGGUUUGCAUCUAAACCAAGUUUAUCAUACAGAACUGAAAUAAUAACAUAAAGAAAUUUUACUUGGCCCUUAAUUUAAAAAAAUAUUUUUCUUUAUUCAUACACAAAUAAGAUGUUAGCAUUAUCAGUUAAUGAUUCUACUUUCAACUAUAAAAGUACACUUUUUUACAAUUUGAUGUUUUUAUCAAUGACAAUAUAUUUAUGCACAAACUUUUGUGUGCAGGGAAGGGCCUUGCGUGUCCAGAGCCCAGCUGAGCCGCAGAUGACUGAGGUGCCUCCUGCUACAGAAGUCACUUCACCUGAGGUGGACUUGGAGAGGGUGGCAGAGCUCCAGACGUGCCCGGGCGUAGUGACGGUGAACACUGCCAUCCUGUCAGCACCCCAGCCAGAUGGAGUCACCCAGGUGGAACAGGUAAGU